UCUUCCGCAAUGGACGAAAGUCUGACGGAGCAACGCCGCGUGAGUGAAGAAGGCCUUCGGGUCGUAAAACUCUGUUGCUGGGGAAGAACAAGUGCCGAUCGAACAGUGCGGCGCCUUGACGGUACCCUGCCAGAAAGCCACGGCUAACUACGUGCCAGCAGCCGCGGUAAUACGUAGGUGGCAAGCGUUGUCCGGAAUUAUUGGGCGUAAAGCGCGCGCAGGCGGCGUCUUAAGUCUGAUGUGAAAUCUUGCGGCUCAACCGCAAGCGGUCAUUGGAGACUGGGAGGCUUGAGUGCAGAAGAGGAGAGUGGAAUUCCACGUGUAGCGGUGAAAUGCGUAGAGAUGUGGAGGAACACCAGUGGCGAAGGCGGCUCUCUGGUCUGUAGCUGACGCUGAGGCGCGAAAGCGUGGGGAGCAAACAGG
rnacentral:rRNA from 1 species